GAAAAGGACAAGACAACCCUUUUAUACUUUAUUGAACAAAAGAAAAUCAAUGAAUCGAUAAGUUUAUAUCAAACUGAACUAUUGGAUUCACAUAACGCUGAUUAGCCAAUCAGAGCGGACUUUACAAAGAGCUUCUACUGGAGCAUCUUUGAACCAGCGUGGGUUUUUAUGGUGCGAAACAAUGGUUGAUGAUGAAGAUUCAAGGAAAUAUAAUUUUUCGUCUCUAGAAUUAUUAAUUUCGGGAUCGAGAUUUUCGGAAAGGAUAGCAGUAGUGGAGAGAGAGUGUUCAACGUCAUGUUUUCGUUUAAGUUGAGCUAAUUUUCUAGGAGAAGGUGGUUUUAAUUUUGGUGGAAGAAUGCUAGAAGGAUUGAUGAACUCUUUGUUCGGCACUUGAAUAGAGAUGAAGUUAACACUUUCUGAUGAAGCAUUGAUGAAACUUCGUCCAAUGAUUCAUGUAGGAACGGAAAGUGGUAAAGCUGUUAUUGCCAUGUGGACACAGUUUAACAUCACAC